GAUGAAUGCUGGCGGCGUGCCUAACACAUGCAAGUCGAGCGGCAGCGAGGGGUGCUUGCACCCUGUCGGCGAGCGGCGAACGGCUGAGUAACGCGUAGGAAUUUGCCCCAAAGUGAGGAAUAACUGCCCGAAAGGGUAGCUAAUGCCGCAUAUGGUCUUCGGAUUAAAGGAUUUAUCCGCUUUGGGAGAAGCCUGCGUUGGAUUAGGUUGUUGGUAGGGUAAUGGCCUACCAAGCCGACGAUCCAUAGCUGGUCUGAGAGGAUGAUCAGCCAGACUGGAACUGAGACACGGUCCAGACUCCUACGGGAGACAGCAGUGAGGAAUCUUCCACAAUGGGCGAAAGCCUGAUGGAGCAACGCCGCGUGAAGGAUGAAGGCCUUCGGGUUGUAAACUUCUUUUAUGAGUGAAGAAUAUGACGGUAACUCAUGAAUAAGCACCGGCUAACUACGUG
rnacentral:rRNA from 1 species